rnacentral:ncRNA from 1 species
UGCGACUGGUCGCGAUGACGUACGGUUCCAGCCUGGUCGCCUGAACCGUGCCGAGCGAGUGGCGAAACCUGCACCGGUCCCA